rnacentral:rRNA from 1 species
UACAGAGGGUGCGAGCGUUGUUCGGAAUUAUUGGGCGUAAAGGGCGCGUAGGCGGUGCGGUAAGUCACCUGUGAAAUCUCCUGGCUCAACUGGGAGCUUGCAGGCGAAACUGCCGUGCUGGAGUAUGGGAGAGGUGCGUGGAAUUCCUGGUGUAGCGGUGAAAUGCGUAGAUAUCAGGAAGAACACCCGUGGCUAAGGCGGCUCUCUAGUACGGUACUGACGCUGAGACGCGAAAGCGUGGGGAGCGAACAGG